CUACGGGAGGCAGCAGUGAGGAAUAUUGCGCAAUGGGCGAAAGCCUGGCGCAGCGACGCCGCGUGGAGGAUGAAGGUCUUUGGAUUGUAAACUUCUGUUAAGUGGGAAGAAAUGUUGGAGAUUAAUACCCUCCAAAGAUGACGGUACCAUUAAAGAAAGCACCGGCUAAACUCGUGCCAGCAGCCGCGGUAAUACGAGUGGUGCAAACGUUAUUCGGAAUCAUUGGGCGUACAGGGUGCGCAGGCGGUGCGUUAAGUCAACUGUUAAAUUCCCCGGCCUAACUGGGGGCCAGCGGUUGAUACUGGCGCGCUAGAGGGUGGAAGAGAGAAGUGGAAUUCUUGGAGUAGCGGUAAAAUGCGUAGAUCUCAAGAGGAACACCAAUGGCGAAGGCAGCUUCUUGGUCCACAUCUGACGCUCAUGCACGAAAGCGUGGGGAGCAAACAGGAUUAGAAACCCCGGUAGUCC
rnacentral:rRNA from 1 species